rnacentral:snRNA from 1 species
GUGCUCGCUUCGGCAGCACAUAUACUAACACUGGAAUGAUACAGAGAAGAAUUAGCAUGGCCCCUGCGCAAGGAUGACGUGCAAACUCAUGAAGCGUUCCAUAUGUUU